rnacentral:rRNA from 1 species
GACGGAGGAUGCAAGCGUUAUCCGGAAUGAUUGGGCGUAGAGCGUCCGCAGGUGGCAGUUCAAGUCUGCUGUCAAAGCCCGGGGCUUAACUUCGGAAAGGCAGUGGAAACUGAACAGCUAGAGUAUGGUAGGGGCAGAGGGAAUUCCUGGUGUAGCAGUGAAAUGCGUAGAGAUCAGGAAGAACAUCGGUGGCGAAGGCGCUCUGCUAGACCAUAACUGACGCUCAGGGACGAAAGCUAGGGGAGCGAAUGGG